rnacentral:rRNA from 1 species
UUGGGAAUCUUGCACAAUGGGGAAAACCCUGAUGCAGCGACGCCGCGUGGAGGAUGACGGGUCUAGGCCUGUAAACUCCUUUUAUCAGGAAAGACUUAGGACGGUACCUGAUGAAUAAGCACCGGCUAACUACGUGCCAGCAGCCGCGGUAAGACGUAGGGUGCAAGCGUUGUCCGGAUUUACUGGGCGUAAAGAGCGCGUAGGCGGUCUGCUAAGUGAGAAGUGAAAUCUCCAGGGCUCAACCCGGAAAUUGCUUUUCAUACUGACAGACUGGAGGAGUGCAGAGGUAUGUGGAAUUCCUGGUGUAGCGGUGAAAUGCGUUGAUAUCAGGAGGAACACCCAUGGCGAAGGCAGCAUACUGGGCACUAUCUGACGCUGAGGCGCGAAAGCGUGGGUAGCAAACA